CGAGAGGGAAAGAACCCAGAUCACCGGCUAAGGUCCCAAAGUAUAUACUAAGUUGAUAUAACGCGGUGGAACUGCAUUGACAGCCAGGAUGUUGGCUUGGAAGCAGCCAUUCAUUUAAAGAGUGCGUAACAGCUCACUGGUCGAGCGGUUCCGCAUGGAUAAUAAUCGGGCAUAAGUAUAUCACCGAAGCCGUGACUUCUACGUAAGUAGAGGGGUAGGGGAGCAUUGUAGUGCCGUCGAAGGUGUACCUGCGAGGGAUGCUGGAGGAGCUACAAACGAAAAUGUAGGCAUAAGUAACGAUAAUGCGGGCGAGAAACCCGCACGCCGAAAGACCAAGGUUUCCCCAGCUAUGCUAAUCAGCUGGGGGUCAGUCGGGACCUAACGCGAACCCGAAAGGGGCAGUGGAUGGACAACGGGUUAAU
rnacentral:rRNA from 12 species